rnacentral:lncRNA from 1 species
AUGCUGCCCUUGGGGGCUGGGAGAGCACCCCGGGAGCCCGGGACACAUCCCCGCAUCCCCCCGGGCUCCCCUGCCGCGGUACCCGGGAUGCAGCGGUGUCAGACCGGUCUCCAUGGAGACUGUCACCGCAGCAACCGGGACCUGCCGUGCUCCCGGGGCUGGGGAGGAUGCACAGGGCUCCGGGACCACCGCUCCCAGCCAGGAAAAGGGAACAUCGGGUACCCACACGCCUCCUUUCUGCUUCCCACAGCGCUUCCCUGCGCCGGCAGGGGAAAAGGGAUCUGCUGCCUGCGAUCCUGCAGCCUCGGGCCCUGUCUGGGCUCGGUCCCGGGGGAGCUGGGAAUACCGAGCUGCCAGGUGGAGACGGCAUCGGGAGGGAGCCGUGCUCGGGGCUGCCAUGGCAACAGUUUAUGGAGUUUCCACAACCUCUGUUCCUGUGGAGGGAUUUAUUCCACCUGCCAGCAGGCCAGAGCAGCAGCCAUCUGCAGCAGGACCAGGCUGGCAGGAAGGCCAGGGCAUCUCUCUGGGCACAUGUCUGCAGGCAGUCAGAGCUGGUGCCCAGCACAGCGCAGUCUGGAGCGUUCACCAAAGGAGGCCCCAGCAGCACGGGGAACACCAUGGAGGGGGCAGCACAUCCUCCCUGCAGCAGCAUCCGUGCUGUGGCCGUGCUGUAAAUCCCAUGAGGCUCAUUCCCAGGGGCCCACCAUUGAUUUCCGUUGCCUGACGACAGGAAAGCUUUAUAAUCCUAUUAACUAAACACCCUUUCAAGCAGCACUGGGAAGAAUGCAAAGGGGACUUUUUAUAAGCAGUCACAGCCACUCUGUGCAGCAGCCAGCCCCAGUAAAUGCUCGGUAAAUGCCCCAAAAAGCAGGGCUGUGACACCCACAGCAGCCAAGGAGGGGUCAGUCAUAGGCAAAUUCACAGGAGCUGGCCCCUGAAAUACUGACAAAUAUCACUGCACCUGGUCCUACUUAUGUGUGUUUGACAGCAAAAGAUACACAGCUUGGGGCAAAAUGUAUAAACAUUCCGUGGGAGAAUGGGAAUCUCCUUGCUGCUUUCUAAGGAGAAAGGAUAUAUUUCAUCGUAUUUUUAAAACAUUUCGAGAGUGCAGCCCUCCUCCCCAGUCAGCCAGCAACAGCCAGAGUGGGGAGGAAAAGCCAUAAAUUGAGCACACAGGAGAUGUAAAAUCCCAGUUUCCAAGACAGUCCCAGGUACCCAGAGCUGUGCUGCAUUUCCAUGAGAGAAGGAGAAGCUCCCAGGCCCCUCUGAGCUGCAGGGAAACGCUGCUGAGCCACACACAGGGACAGGGACUGGAGCAGCUGCGGGUCCUGCAGCCACACCUCCCUCCAAGUGCCACAUCAGGGGCUGCACCACUGCACAGAACAGGGAUGGAUUCCUCAUCCAGCUGGAAUCCCUGCAGGACCCCUCCAAAGGCAGGGGGGCUAUCAGCAGCCUGGGGAGGAGGGUCACAAACGCCUUUCCAGCAGCAGAAACGCACCUUCCCCUGGCUGUGGGAGCCUUUAUCAGCCAUCUCCCCUUCCUCUGCCUUUAGCUGUUCACAC